rnacentral:misc_RNA from 1 species
GUGAAUCAUCGAAUCUUUGAACGCAAAUUGCACUCUCCGGUUUUCCGGGGGAGUAUGCCUGUCUGAGGGUCAGCCUAAAAAAAAUCGACAUUGUUGCUGUUAUUUAAUGGUGACUUUCGUCGGAGAUUGGGUUAUCUUAAACCUUUUUUUUUUUUUGUUUUAAGCGACUUAAAAUUUUUUUUCGUAUUCAUUUAACUUUUCCAAG